CUCGCGAUAGCUCAGUUGGUAGAGCGGAGGACUGUAGAUCCUUAGGUCGGUGGUUCGAAUCCGUCUCUCGAGU
rnacentral:tRNA from 1 species